rnacentral:misc_RNA from 1 species
AAGAAACCAAAACCCUCAGUCUCAGAAUUAUUUCACCAAGUAAAAAGUAAAGAAAAGCAAAAGAGCUAAUCUAACUAGGACUCGCUACUAGUAUAGGUGGAAGUCAAAGAAACAAAAAGCUUACCAAAAUGUAACCAUGCAUUUCGAUACGAACUUCCACACUAUGUCCAGGAAAAACAUGACAGUUUUCAAGAUACUUAAAUU